rnacentral:rRNA from 1 species
UGGGGAAUAUUGGACAAUGGGCGAAAGCCUGAUCCAGCAAUGCCGCGUGAGUGAUGAAGGCCUUAGGGUUGUAAAGCUCUUUUACCCGGGAUGAUAAUGACAGUACCGGGAGAAUAAGCGCCGGCUAACUCCGUGCCAGCAGCCGCGGUAAGACGGAGGGCGCAAGCGUUGUUCGGAAUUACUGGGCGUAAAGCGCGGGCAGGCGGUCUGUUAAGUCGUUUGUGAAAAUCCGGAGCUCAACUCCGGAAAUGCGUACGAUACUGGCAGGCUGGAGACUGGUAGAGGCUAGCGGAAUUCCUGGUGUAGCGGUGGAAUGCGUAGAUAUCAGGAAGAACACCUGUGGCGAAGGCGGCUAGCUGGGCCAGAUCUGACGCUCAUCCGCGAAAGCGUGGGGAGCAAA